CUCCUGACCUCAAGCAAUCCUCUUGCCUUGGCCUCCCAGAGUUCUAGGAUUACAGGCACGAGCCAGCACACCCAGCCAGGUGUUUUUACGUGGAAGGAGGGAGAACAGAGAUGGACCACGCUCUGCUAAUCACUAAGUGUGUCACCUGGAGUAGAUUCCUUUAAGUCCUGGCCUCAGUUUUCUUGGAGAUGAUACAUGACCCUUAAAAGUGCAACCAAUCUUUUCAGCAAAAACACUUCUUCUGAGACCAUGUAAAAUACCAGUCCAUCCUGAGCCAUGAAAGAUUUGGAUCUAGGCAUCUAGACAACAAAGAUUCUACUGCAAAUGGGAAACAGGGAAGGGCGCUCACCUACAAGCCUUACUACAACGGGAUCGCGUUUCGUGAAGGCCCAGGUGGAUGAGCACACAGGCCAGCUGCUGCUCACCUUUCAGCUGAUGGUUCUCGGUCAGGAGUUCUUUCAUCUGCCGCAGCAGCUCCUCUGGGGUGAAUGUGUCCAGGUUUGGGUGAGCCAGACUGGGGGGUCCAUUUCCUGUGGUUUCGUUGGGGCUGUCCCCUUUUUCAGUCAGGCAGCUGAGAGGUUGGUGGGACAUGGCAGAAGUUCCUAUGGAAAAGUCACUAACUGAAAAUAGAGCUGUCCCCCUCGCUACAAGGGCUUCCCUCGAGUCCCACAAAUCCAUUAGGAAUUGCUCAUAUUUACUCCAAAAAUUGCCUUUCUCUCCAAUUACAGUUUGAACAUUUUUGAUUCUUCACUUUAAACAAACCAAAAAGGUAUAUUCCAUCUUCUGGGGAACUAUGUGUGUGUGUUUGUGUAUGUGUGUGCAUGGGUGUAUAAAGGAGUACAAAGAAGCUGGGAAAUAGGGGAGAAAGAGGGGUGUACGAUGUCAUGAUCAGGAUAAUAUUUGUAGACAAGGGCAAAGUAUCAUUAAAGAAAUUUCCCAUGCAAGUCUUUAAGUUCAAAAUCCUUAUUUUGAAUGAAUUGCAUGGUAUGUGAAUUACAUGACAAUAAAGCUGCCAAAAUACUCCAUAUUUUAUUUCCUGUAUUUCUGGUUAAGAGGAAAGGGAGGAUUAGCAUUCUCUGAAUGCCUAAUAUAUGCUGAAUCACACCAGACAUGUCACUGUCUCUUUUCUUCACUACAGCUCAGCUAGGCAGCUACUUCACAGGGGAGGAAGUUGAGUUUGCAGAGGUGUGCAGCUCAUCCAAGCCACGGUGGAUGAAGCACAUCAGCAAUCAAGGAAGAUUCCAAAACCCAACCUGUGAUACAACGAAGAUACUACUGAAUACUCAGGCUUUAAUAUUAUAGUUUUCAAUGCAUACUAAUAAGACUAAGACAUCUUUAGUUAUUACGUAUUCUGAAAACAUUUUUACGCAUACUAUUUUAUUUUGUAUAUGGCCCAAUGUGGACAUAUAAAUAAAAGAUGGAUGAGUGAAUGCCAACUCCACUUCUGUGUUACCUACCACCUGAGCAAACACAGAUCCUUCCCACGACUGGCUACAUGCUACAGGUAAAAAUGUUCAUCUUCACACUUCAUGAGAAUGAUGGUUUUCCCUCAAGAAGUGAUGUGGAUAGACUAUAAAGCAAUACAUAGUAAAGGCAACUCCUCCUCUAACACUGUAUACCUGUGCACACACACCUCUGUUCUACAAAGCUAAAAAAUGGCUGACGUCCAGAGAGAUGCCUGAGAAGCAUAUUACUUCCAAGAUGCUUACCUUUAGAAGACAAUUUUAAACCCAUCUAUCCAACAAAUAGGUAAAUAAGCAAUGAUGCACGCUAUUCAACUGUGAUCAAGCAGAAAGCCACUGACACCACAAAAGCCCUGGGAUGAGAUGAAGAAGGAACUCGGAGGUGAGCAUCCCGUUUCUAAUGGAAACAAAGCACUGCUCCAGUUAGACCAGUCAGCAUCUCAAGAUUAUGGAGCCCAUGGGAUCCCACUGAGUCACAGAGUCCAUCACACAUGAAAUCAGUUGCUGGGAGACAGAGCAAGAGAACUGCCCCCUUUCUGAUAUACAACUAUAUAAUAACAUCUAUGUGUGCACUUAGCAUCCAUCUAUUAAAAUGAAACCAAACACAGGGAAUAUGGGGUUGCUUCCCUGCAACGACAGGAGGCAGUAAGUACCUCAGGCUCCCUGGAGGUGCCCUGAGAGACGUCCUGUAGGUCUCAGGAACUUGUAGGUAACCAGAGACAGCACUACCGACCAUACCCUGCAGCAGGACAGCCUGCAUGACUUCUUCCUAAAGCAGCUCGCAUCAAGAAGUGCAUUCUCAUGAAAUCCCGUAAUGAGGAUGAUGGCAAUUUUAUAAAGUGAAAAGCAAUGAUAAAACACAUUAUUCAAUUUGAACCUUUUAUAUCUGUUUCACAUACCUGAAUUAAUUUAGAAAAAAAGUACAAUGCUGAAGUGUUCUUCACUUAGCAUUAGGUGAUUAGAACAGAAUGCUUUUUUUUCCCCCCAAAAAAUGAUAUGGCUAAACUGUCAGUUCCUAACUUUCCAUAAAAUUCAUUUUUCCACAGAAUCAUCUUGGUGCUAAUAUUUCAUAAAAAUGGAGUUUUACAGAGUAAUGGUGUUCCUACCUAUUUUAUAGAGGAAUACUAA